GGCUGUGCGAAAGCGUAGACACCGCCCUCUCACGGCGGCAACACCGGUUCGAAUCCGGUAGGGGUCGCCA
rnacentral:tRNA from 1 species